rnacentral:lncRNA from 1 species
AUGUGGCUCAUCAAUGCCAGUAUCAACAGACACUGCAGUGGAAAACAAGCCUCUCCUGAAUGUUGUGUUUUCUCACUCAUUUAUCUCUUUCCUUUUGCAGAGAAGGAAGAUACAGAUUCUGACUCUGGAUUUCGUGAAAAAAGCAGCCAUUCCAUGGAUCGGAAUAGCCUAGAUUUUGAUAAGGAAGGUACAGAUUCUGACUCUGGAUGUAGUGAAGAAGGCAGCCGUUCCAUAGGGAAGAAUCCCCUACAUUUUGGUAUGUAUUGAGUGUUAUGUACACAAAUCUAAAACGUGAGCCAGAAGGAGAAGUAUAGUCCUACAUCAUAAUUUGUCGUAAUACAUCCAUUAGUGGUUAUUAGACUCUUCUUUCCUUUUGUAAGGAAACUGGACAAUAAUAGCACGCUGUCCAACUAUUGGUUUGAAGAGGAUUAAAGCAGCAUAACGGAACAAUUGCUAAUCGCUAACGAGAUGCUAGCGCCUAAAACUAGCGAAACCUCUUGAAAUGUGCUUACUUUGACACUAUGACAAACUGGUUAGUCAACAACUGUCCUAACACAGUCAAACAUGAAGCAAGUGCAACACAAGACAAAGCAAGACGGCAAAUAAGCUACUUAGUUCGGCAGACAGUAGAAACCGGGCGGCUUCAGCCACAUAACCCAGUAAUAUGCCUAAGGACCCUGGUAUGGCAACGGCACGGAAGCGAUUCUCCAUACUAAAAGUCAUUGUAGCGCCCCAAUUUUUUUAAGCUGUUAUUUUAAGGUAAAACUGCUUAUCCUAACCCUAACCCUGAAGUACAAUUACUGCAUAAUGCCACAUUAAAGCUGUAUGAAUAUCUGCAGAUGUUAUUUUUUUUCAUCUGUAAAUUAUGGUGUUUUAAGGCUGGGCACACACAAGGCUGGGCACACACAAGGCAGGGCGUGAGGAGUCUGAAACGAGAGGAGAGAUGAGUAAACAACAGAACUGAAGAAUAAAUGAUAAAAUUAGGAAAACUUAUCUAGUAAG